ACCAUUUGAUAAUAAUUUAUACUUGACAUAAUAUUUUCAAAACAUUUAAUCGUUUGGCAAUUGGCGUGCAAGUUGUAAAUGUAAAAUUUUACAAGUAUAUAUCACUACAUGAUGAUUAAAGUAACGUGGUGCUCUCAUUUAAUUGAUAAGGUGGUGGCAGCGAAAUUAGUGCACAAAGUGGUGAUAGUGAUUACGUGAGACAAAAUGCUUUUUAUGGAAUUAAGUUCAGAGACUAAAGUCAAUUUCCAAUCCAGUAGAUUCUUAGCACACCCAAAACGACACAAUUAAUGGAUAUAUUACUGAAGGGCGAUAUAGCUGAGUGGGUUAUAUGGUAGUACUUUUAUGCACUAUUUGUGGUUAAAAAAAAAAGUAGCCAUUCCCCCUUUUGCAAAAAGCAAACUACCACAACAAAAUGCCUUCCUCAUAUAACCCAGGAGAGCCUAUAAAUUCCAUAACCGUUAUGUCAUCAAAACAAUUUGAAAAUAAAAACGAAUGUUCGUCUGCAUAUGAUCUAAUUUUAGGAAACCUGAACUUGGCUGAUGAAAUCCUUAAAAGUACUGCUAAUAGUAGUAUGCCCACCAAAUUAGACCUAAUGGGAGAAAUAACAACGGAAAUAGAACUUUAUAACUCGAUAAAAAAGAACAAGAAUAAUCAAAAGAAAAAGAAAAAACAAAAGAAUAAGGAAUUGAAGGUAAAUGAUGUAGCAGAAUUGAAAAAAGAAACAAAAUUGGAGGAAAAAAAUUUGGAAACAAUAUUUUCAAAAAUAAAUGAACUAUACACCACUCUAUUUACAGAGUUUGAAGUUGAUAUUGAAUUUCUUACCAUAUACAUUGAGUAUUGUAAAAAAAAUGACUUAAUAAUUCAAUGCAGUACAUUCCUAAGCACAAUCUUUUCCAUCUCAGAACCUGGACCAGAUAUAUAUUUAACUGUAGCACGGUUUGAGUAUAAAGAGCGCAAAAAUAUUAGUCGAGCACGACAGUAUUAUAAAAGUGGCAUAUGUAAACAUGGUCAAUGUAAAGAAUUGCGUUUAGAAGAGGUAUUAAUGGAAGUCGAACAUUGUGAUAUGUCGGAGAGAUGUGUUCAGAGAUACCGAUCUGCAAUACAUCGUUUUGCGGGAGAUAUCUAUUUUCACGUACAAUUGUUAAACAGUGUCUAUAGAAUUAAGCCUAAAUCAUUACCCAGGAUAUGUUCGAUUAUUGUCAGCGACAUGGUAAAUGCUUACAAACAUAAUGAAAUAGCAUGGGAUCAAUUAGCUAAAUUGGAAUUAAAAGGAUAUACUUAUGAUUCAACACAGGAGGAAUCUGAACGGCUUAUAGCUACACAAAAAAACUUUGUAGUUACAGUAAAGAAUUGCGUUUAUAUUUAUGAAGAUACGUUACGCCAAAAGUUUUUCCGGGUGAACAAAAAAAAUUUGUGGAUUUUAUAUUUGGAAGCUAUAAUAGGAAUUAGGAAUUCAAACUUAAUGAAACUACCAGCUAUCAGGAAAUAUAUGCAAGCAACACUGAAAAGAGCAUUUCAUAAUGCACACACAUAUGACGUACCUGUACUCAAUUCUAAAUAUUAUUUAUAUUGGACUCAAAAUUCUAGUAUCGAUGAGCGAUGGAAGUUUUUACCUGAAGCGGUUGAAAUUAUAAAAACGGAUGUGCAAUUAUGGACAGAACUUAUGGCUCUGUAUGUUAUUGGUAACAGACGGGAAGAGCUCCUUGAAACAUUUCAACGUGCAGUUAAAGUGUUAAAAAAUGAUUCUCUGCCAUUGUGGAGGCACGUGUUCAACUAUUUACAUCGUACCAGUCAUAGUUUGCUUGAACAGUUGUAUAUUGAAGGAUCAAAUGCUAAGUACAAAGAACUAGCCCAAACUGUGAGAUCAGAUUACCUAGAUUGGUGUAUACUUGUAAAGGGAGUAGAAGAAGGUCGAAUUGUUUUCAAUAGUCUGAAAAAUUUUAAUCCUCCGUGCCAAAAAUUAUAUAUGAGAAUGAUAAAAUGUGAAGAGAAUCAAAUUCAUGAGACUGGUGCUAAAGAUUCCGUAAGGCAAUUAUACUCUGAGGCAACUGAAAUAUUUGGCAAAACCAACAUUGAAGUGUGGAUAGAAAGCAUACGAUUUGAGUUAAAGUUCGGUACCACGUUGGAAGGAGUUGCAAUUUAUGAAAAAUCUUUGAAAAGUUUAGAUGCCAAGUACAUACCCGAUUUGAAGUCAGAAUAUAAAGAAACUCAAAUUCAAUAUAAGCUGGGUUAUUAUAAACAAUCAUACAAUCAUCAUUAGUUGUGCAGAAGACUCUAACCCAAAUACAAGUCUUUGAAUAUGAUCAUUAUUUAAAUAUCAUCCUACGCUGGUAUUGUUGGUAACUAACGCGGUUCACUCCAUCUAUUACCAUCAAGAUACCUUCCUUCGCUCCUUUCAUCAGACUGUAACUAAAGCUUGCCCAAAUAAAUGGUUUAAAACUCUAAAGUAAACCUCAGUUCCACUUCCACCUGCUGGUACAGUUCGAUUUCCCUUUUAAUCUAUUCUCGCUCUUGCUUCCAUAACUUCCAGUCUCAAUUCUUUUCCAUAUUGUCCUCUCUAUUAAAAUUAAGCUAUUUGCGAUUUCUCUCACCUCUUUAUAACCUACCUGGCAUUGUAUGAUAAAAGCCUAUUUUCAUUUACCUUCCUCUGACCUCUCUUUACAAAAUAAUCAGUCUGCUCUACUGUCCACAUAGAUGAACACACGUUUCGUUUCAAAUCCUUUCUUUCCUACAGAGCUUCGGCCCUUCAAUUUAAUUAUCUUGUUUUAAUUACUUUUACUUUUAUUAUUAUAAAUUUUAUUUUACUUUUCUUUGUCUAUCAUAUAAUAAUAAUAUGUUGAUUUAUAUUGCUGUAAAAAUCAUCACCAUAAUUUAAAAAAAAAUGUUUAAUUGUAA